GUCAAAGGGAUAUGGAUGGACAAAAAUAGUGUUGAUAAUUGACCCGUAUUGGAAAAUUAUCCUUUUUGAUCAAUGUGUAGGCCGUUCAAGCGAAGCAUCAGAAUGAUUGGGAAGUUGUGAAACAUGGUUGGCAUGCUCAGGUACUUGGUGAUCCCCCACCCAAAUAGAUGAAGAACAUGCCCAGACAAGAAUAUGUAGCUCACUUGAGAUGGUAAUUUGGUGCUACUGAUGUGAAACUUUCUGGUGAACCAAAACUCCCCUUUUUUCUGCACCCAUUCUCAAUGGACAUAAGGAAUGAAUUUCAUAUCUUAUUCGUCAAUUUUGGGCGAAACUGUCACACCCCCAAAAUCCACCAUGCG